GGUUUUCGCAUCCCGAUGAGAAGCAACCUCCUGUGGAGUUUAUUGCCUUCUCCAAUUGCUUCCAUGGAAGGACCAUGGGUGCUGUUGCUUUGACAAGCAAAGAGCACUACAGGUCACCUUUUGAACCUGUAAUGCCUGGAGUUACCUUCCUGGAGUAUGGCGAUAUUCAAGCAGCCACAGAGUUAAUUCAGAGUGGUAAAAUAGCUGCUGUGUUUGUUGAAGGGGUUACCUUCCUGGAGUAUGGCAGUAUUCAAGCGGCCACAGAGCUAAUUCAGAGUGGUAAAAUAGCUGCUGUGUUUGUUGAACCAAUCCAAGGUGAAGGUGGAAUAUACAGUGCAACAAAAGAAUUCUUACAAGCUCUGCGAACU
rnacentral:lncRNA from 1 species